ensembl:snoRNA
GGCAGUCUUGUCAAAUUCAGUGCUCUCUCCUCUGUGGGUUCCACUGGCCAAAAUGACUGCCACAGUAAAGGUGUAGUUCAUGGGCCCCACGGUGCUCCCACAUGCCCACUGGGGAUAAAUAUGUACUACACACAAAA